AAAAAAGGUAAGCUACUAAGAGCGAAUGGUGGAUGCCUUGACUGGUAAAGGCGAUGAAGGACGUACUAGACUGCGAUAAGCUACGGGGAGCUGUCAAGAAGUUUUGAUCCGUAGAUUUCCGAAUGGGGCAACCCAAUGUAUAGAGAUAUACAUUACCUAUAUAGGAGCGAACGAGGGGAAUUGAAACAUCUUAGUACCCUCAGGAAAAGAAAUCAAUAGAGAUUGCGUCAGUAGCGGCGAGCGAAAGCGCAAGAGGGCAAACCCAGUGCUUGCACUGGGGGUUGUAGGACUGCAAUGUGCAAGAGGUAAGUUUAGCAGAACAUUCUGGAAAGUAUAACCAUAGAGGGUGAUAGUCCCGUAUGCGAAAAACAAACCUUAGCUAGCAGUAUCCUGAGUAGGGCGGGACACGAGGAAUCCUGUCUGAAUCCGGGUCGACCACGAUCCAACCCUAAAUACUAAUACCAGAUCGAUAGUGCACAAGUACCGUGAGGGAAAGGUGAAAAGAACUGAGGUGAUCAGAGUGAAAUAGAACCUGAAACCAUUUGCUUACAAUCAUUCAGAGCCCUAUGUAGCAAUACAGGGUGAUGGACUGCCUUUUGCAUAAUGAGCCUGCGAGUUGUGGUGUCUGGCAAGGUUAAGCAAACGCGAAGCCGUAGCGAAAGCGAGUCUGAAUAGGGCGCUUAGUCAGAUGCUGCAGACCCGAAACGAAGUGAUCUAUCCAUGAGCAAGUUGAAGCUAGUGUAAGAACUAGUGGAGGACUGAACCCAUAGGCGUUGAAAAGCCCCGGGAUGACUUGUGGAUAGGGGUGAAAGGCCAAUCAAACUUCGUGAUAGCUGGUUCUCUCCGAAAUAUAUUUAGGUAUAGCGUUGUGUCGUAAUAUAAGGGGGUAGAGCACUGAAUGGGCUAGGGCAUACACCAAUGUACCAAACCCUAUCAAACUCCGAAUACCUUAUAUGUAAUCACAGCAGUCAGGCGGCGAGUGAUAAAAUCCGUCGUCAAGAGGGAAACAACCCAGACUACCAGCUAAGGUCCCUAAAUCUUACUUAAGUGGAAAACGAUGUGAAGUUACUUAAACAACCAGGAGGUUGGCUUAGAAGCAGCCAUCCUUUAAAGAAAGCGUAAUAGCUCACUGGUCUAGUGAUUUUGCGCGGAAAAUAUAACGGGGCUAAAGUAAGUACCGAAGCUGUAGACUUGCACACAACUUAGAUUAUUUAAGUUUAGAAUAUGAGAAACUAAGUUAUAUGUUUAGUUAUAUUUUUACUGAUUUUUAUAGAGUAAAGAUAGAAAUAAAACUUAGUAAAAUCAGUAAAAAUAUUCUUAGACUAAAGUUAAGUAGUUUAAGUUGUGUGCAAGUGGUAGGAGAGCGUUCUAUUUGCGUCGAAGGUAUACCGGUAAGGAGUGCUGGAGCGAAUAGAAGUGAGCAUGCAGGCAUGAGUAGCGAUAAUUAAUGUGAGAAUCAUUAACGCCGUAAACCCAAGGUUUCCUACGCGAUGCUCGUCAUCGUAGGGUUAGUCGGGUCCUAAGUCGAGUCCGAAAGGGGUAGACGAUGGCAAAUUGGUUAAUAUUCCAAUACCAACAUUAGUGUGCGAUGGAAGGACGCUUAGGGCUAAGGGGGCUAGCGGAUGGAAGUGCUAGUCUAAGGUCGUAGGAGGUUAUACAGGCAAAUCCGUAUAACAAUACUCCGAGAACUGAAAGGCUUUUUGAAGUCUUCGGAUGGAUAGAAGAACCCCUGAUGCCGUCGAGCCAAGAAAAGUUUCUAAGUUUAGCUAAUGUUGCCCGUACCGUAAACCGACACAGGUGGGUGGGAUGAGUAUUCUAAGGCGCGUGGAAGAACUCUCUUUAAGGAACUCUGCAAAAUAGCACCGUAUCUUCGGUAUAAGGUGUGGUUAGCUUUGUAUUAGGAUUUACUCCGAAAGCAAGGAAACUUACAACAAAGAGUCCCUCCCGACUGUUUACCAAAAACACAGCACUCUGCUAACUCGUAAGAGGAUGUAUAGGGUGUGACGCCUGCCCGGUGCUCGAAGGUUAAUUGAUGGGGUUAGCAUUAGCGAAGCUCUUGAUCGAAGCCCGAGUAAACGGCGGCCGUAACUAUAACGGUCCUAAGGUAGCGAAAUUCCUUGUCGGUUAAAUACCGACCUGCAUGAAUGGCGUAACGAGAUGGGAGCUGUCUCAAAGAGGGAUCCAGUGAAAUUGUAGUGGAGGUGAAAAUUCCUCCUACCCGCGGCAAGACGGAAAGACCCCGUGGACCUUUACUACAGCUUGACACUGCUACUUGGAUAAGAAUGUGCAGGAUAGGUGGGAGGC
rnacentral:rRNA from 1 species